rnacentral:rRNA from 1 species
GACGAACGCUGGCGGCGUGCUUAACACAUGCAAGUCGAACGGAAAGGCUCCAGCUUGCUGGAGUACUCGAGUGGCGAACGGGUGAGUAACACGUGGGUAAUCUGCCCUGCACUCUGGGAUAAGCCUGGGAAACUGGGUCUAAUACUGGAUAUGACCUUCCUCCUUAUGGGGUUUGGUGGAAAGUUUUUCGGUGUAGGAUGAGCCCGCGGCCUAUCAGCUUGUUGGUGGGGUGAUGGCCUACCAAGGCGACGACGGGUAGCCGGCCUGAGAGGGUGAUCGGCCACAUUGGGACUGAGAUACGGCCCAGACUCCUACGGGAGGCAGCAGUGGGGAAUAUUGCACAAUGGGCGGAAGCCUGAUGCAGCGACGCCGCGUGAGGGAUGACGGCCUUCGGGUUGUAAACCUCUUUCAGCAGGGACGAAGCGUAAGUGACGGUACCUGCAGAAGAAGCACCGGCUAACUAUGUG